rnacentral:rRNA from 1 species
ACGGGGUGCAGCAGGCGCGAAACCUCCACAAUGCGCGAAAGCGUGAUGGGGUUAUCCCGAGUGCCGUCCGAUGAGGAUGGCUUUUCAUCGGUGUAAGGAUCCGAUGGAAUAAAGGGGGGGCAAGACUGGUGUCAGCCGCCGCGGUAAUACCAGCCCCCUGAGUGGUAAGGACGAUUAUUUGGCCUAAAGCGUUCGUAGCCGGCUUAUCAAGUCUUUUGUUAAAUCCAACGAUUCAAUCGUUGGGCCGCAAAAGAUACUGUUAUGCUAGAGGACGGGAGAGGUCGACGGUAGUCCAGGGGUAGGGGUGAAAUCCUAUAAUCCUUGGAGGACCACCAGUGGCGAAGGCGGUCGACUAGAACGUGCCUGACGGUGAGGGACGAAAGCUGGGGGAGCGAACCGGAUUAGAUACCCGGGUAGUCCCAGCCGUAAACGAUGCGGGCUAGGUGUUGGGGCAGCCACGAGCUGCUCCAGUGCCGCAGAGAAGUUGUUAAGCCCGCCGCCUGGGAGUACGCCGCAAGGC